UGUGUUCUUUGUGGCAUCACUUAAAAUGUAUUUGAAUUUUGAAAUGAUGUCCACUCUUUCACAGAUCAUGAGCAAUCAUCCGUGUCUACUGAGGACUGUUCUAGAGGCAUCUAUUUCAAACUGACCCUCCUAUUUGGUGGAAUAAUUUUUUUUACAUGUAUUGUUCCUCUUAUUUUGGGGAUUAUCAGGGAACACAGAAGACAGAAGCAUAAAAAAGUCGCUGAAUCUCAAGCACAACAGCAUAAUGACAAGGAAAAUUAUUCAGUAGAAUAUGCUUCUGUGUAUUUCUCAAAGAAGAGACUCAAAACAGCAGGACGACAUACUGAGUAUACAACCGCUGUGUACACUGAUACUCCUUGAAAAAGGAAACAUAUUCAAACAUAUUAUAAGUUAAUUAAUUAUUAACUA